AUACGGAGGGGGCUAGCGUUGUUCGGAAUUACUGGGCGUAAAGCGUACGUAGGCGGACUGAUCAGUUGGGGGUGAAAUCCCAGGGCUUAACCCUGGAACUGCCUUCAAUACUGUCAGUCUUGAGAUUGGAAGAGGUGAGUGGAAUUCCUAGUGUAGAGGUGAAAUUCAUAGAUAUUAGGAGGAACACCAGUGGCGAAGGCGGCUCACUGGUCCAAGACUGACGCUGAGGUACGAAAGCGUGGGGAGCAAACAGGAUUAGAUACCCUAGUAGUCC
rnacentral:rRNA from 1 species